CAACUUUGGGUUCUCCAGUGAAACAAAAAUGGUUGUGAGUCAAAAAUACCUAUUUAGAACAUCGUGUAUUUCUAUUUAACUAUUUGGCUGUAGUUUAUGACCAAAAAAAGUUAAAAAAAUAUAAUUGGAAGUAUUAUUUAUCAAUUAUUCAAAAUAAAAAAAACAGUGUCCACACUAACCCUACCAAAUGGGGUUAGUGUGGCCAGUGGAAGGAUUAGUGUCGACAUGUAUAUCCGUUAAUGCACACAUGAUUUGGAUUAAAAUGCUUUUCGAAUUUAAAGACACCAAGCCAUGUAGUAUGUCACCCAGUUCGAUAACAAGAUUUCCACCACACCCACACCCUCUGGGGGCGUGGUUUCCAAAUUUUAGUUAUUCAGUGGAAAUCUUAACUGCUGAGAGAAAUAACGUAUGUACGUCAUCGCUUGGUGUCUUCAAACUUAAGAGUCGAUGAAAACCACACCCACUGGGGGUGUGGUUUCCGAAUUUUUGUGGUGAGAUUCUUUCAUGGGGAUAAGAAAAAUUAAAUAUCAUACUAAAUAAUUUCGUGAAAGCCGGAAAGGCGUUGAGGACCACACUCACUGGGGGUGUGGUUGCCAAAUUUUUAUUGUUCGUAUAAUUCUUUCCCUCCAGAGCUGAUACGAACAACAUAUUACGUCGCCUGGUUUUUUAGUAUGAAAAAGUCAAAAACAUCGAAAAAUACACCCACUUGGGGGUGUGGUUGCUACAUUUUAGCUAUUUAAUCGAGAUUCCCUUAUCUACCUGAGAAAAAUGAUAUGUCACAAAUAAUGGUUUGGCUAAAAUAUAAGUCCAACACUAAUCUAUCACUACUGGCCACACUUACCCCUCAAUUCAUAAUAUUGGAGGGUUAGUGUGGACACCAAUUUUUUAAUUGACUGGACAGCUACUUUAUUUAAACAUUAAUGUACAAAUAUAAUAUGGGCGCAUAUUAUGUUGAGUAAAAUUAAUUAUAAUGCUGGCAUUACUUAAUGUCUAUGAAAUCCAAAUUUAAACAUCACCUGAUUAAAUUGAUCCGAAAAGGUUUUUAAUUAUGAAAUUUUGAUCGCACUAAUUUUGUGAGAUAAUGAAUUUUCCGAGUUCUCCAAAUUUAUUGUUCAGAACAAGAAGGAGUUGUAGUUUGAUGUGAAAUUUUUUGUUUUUGAAAAAUUCGUAGUUUUACCAUAGAAAAAUCGUUUGGCCACAAUUGCCUCGUGGCCACACUAACCCGUACCGACCCUACUUAUGUUCAGUUGUUAACUUUACUUAUGUAUGUCCUAUGUUGUCAUCAAUUCAUCAUACAUAUUUCAUAUAUAAUCAAAUCAUGUUAUGUAAGUAUGAAAUUCAUAACACAGGACAAGAUAUGAUGUAAUUAGGAUUAUGUGGGGAUCACAUUUUAGGGAUUACUUCUGCUCAGCAGAUAUCUGUAAAUUGUAGAGAGAGAUACACUAUUUACAAAUCUGUUCAAUCACUAUGUAUUUGUAUAUAAGAAAUGUAUUUAUAUAUACAUGUGAAUGUGGGUGUAUACUUGGAUAAUGUUUUUGAGUAUCUAGCUGAAUAAAAAGGAGGACGCACUCUUCUUAUGAGAAAAUCCCCCCCCGUGAUAUUUGUCCCAAAUUUUGAUAUGUUGUACACCUCGAGGUGCUGAUCAAAAAAUGUAUUGGUCCCUAAGCCCUAAGUGACCUGGUUCGACCGGAAACAGAGGUCAAAGGUCAGUGCACUUUUUCGCUCGAAACCCCACAAACCGUAUAUUUUUGGAAAGCUACGGACCUCACGAGUCCGAAUAUACACCAUAAUAGGGUCCAGGGUCAACCCUUGACCUUUGGAGGUCAGGUAUUUUGGGCAAGGUGACCUUUUUUGGACCUUACCUCCGCUGCACUCCGGUCAGCCGAGUGCAUGGCAACAAGCUUAGUCGACUCUAUCGCUGUUGUGUGUGCAACUGUGUUGCAACAGCAAAACACAUUUGCAACUUUUUUGCUUGACCUCGAAGGGUCAAGAGUUGACCUUUGACCCUAUUAAGGUGUAUAUUCGGACUCGUGAGGUCCGUAGCUUUCCAAAAAUAUACGGUUUGUGGGGUUUCGAGAGAAAAAGUGUACUGACCUUUGACCUCUGUUUCCGGUCGAACCAGGUCACUUAGGGCUUAGGGACCAAUACAUUUUUUGAUCAGCACCUCGAGGUGUAUAACAUAUCAAAAUUUGGGGUAAAUAUCACGGGGGGGGAUUUUCUCAUAAGAAGAGUGCGUCCUCCUUGCUUCAAUUCUUAUUCACUAAAAUUCUUAUUCUUAUUCAGUUCCUGUUCACUAAAUAAUUACGAAUUUUAGUUUCGAAAAGAAUGGAAAGCAGUAAAGACUGUAUAUCUGUACAGUAAAUGACAAUUCCAUGUAAAAAAAUAUUUGUUUUGCAUUUUUGUAAUGUGUAUGUAUAUAAUGUAUGCCAUAUAUUCUUUUGUUAUUGCUAAAUUUAUUAUUAGUAAAUUUACAUGAUUCUGAGAAUGGCCCGGAUAAAUAAAAAUAUUGUCAUCAUUAACAGCAAACAACAAAUAGGUUUAAACCGAUCAAGAAGUCAUUCGUAAAACCAUUUAUAAUGACACCACGAAAAUUUGUAUCGCAUUCUUUACUUAUUUUAAUCAUACUCUUUGUUGACAAGACCGCGUCCAAGGUGCACAAACUGCGCCAAGUUUUAUCUACGGGGACCGUGUUCGAGGAGUUUGACCACUCCACCGUGUCUCUCUACGAUACCGUCUUCCCCCUAAUUUAUUCCUACAAGGGCCCAGACUGGUUUUGGCAGAGGGAAUUGUCCGCAAGUUCUGUCCCGAAUUGUAGCGAUGAUAGCUACGGGGGCGACACCGGAGCCGGUGGUCUCUGUCCGAUUUGGUUCCACGUGGGAACCCAGUUGAGAAAGGAGAUGGAUUUCGCGAUGGGUUUGCAAUUCAUGACCUCGAUGACAGAAUCUGAUAUGGAUUUAGGCUUGGGACGUGGAGCUGGGUGUGACAGAGUGGAAAAACAUUUCUUUGUGGAGCGUGUCCAAAACGAUAAAUUUGCAUCUUACCUCUCCCGAUGGCGACGUUGCUCCGAGGGACGAAUUUGGGAGAGUGAUCUUAUAACAGAAUAUUCUGGUAAAAUUUCGACCGUUUACGCCACCUUGGCGAAACAGUGGAUGGACGUUUUCGGUCCGAAAGCAAUGCGAACCGAGGCCCGAAUAGCGAAGGGGGCAGAGUUAAAUGAAAAGCUGGCCUUGGCUGGAUUACUCUACACACAUUAUCUCGCCCUGGUAAAAAGAUGGCGUCGUGGAUUCAGAGAUUGUAAACUGGGCCUUAUUCCGGAUGCGUUGUUAAGUUCGAAACGCCUCCAAACCGGGUUGGACGCUUUGGGAAGGAAGAUUGGACCAGAAUUUCGAUUCGCAAUUCCACAUCAGGGUGCGAUAUUUAUUUAUUGUUUAAUGCGGAUUAUAAAAUAUUCGGGUUUUUCACAUGCUGUCUGAUUUUUUUAUACAGGAUCCGAAAUUUCAAGAUAUUUUAAACAACACUCCCUGGCCGAUUGUGUUUACACGAGUGACCGGUUUUAUCUGAGGAUACUCAUUCCCGUGGUGAAAGUACGGGCUGCUCCGAUUAAUUUGGUGAAUAUUCGGUCACUCCCGUUUCUCAGAGAGGUAAAGGGCGUGGCUCAGAUGUGCAUGGUGCCCGGAUUUGAAAAGGGUACAUAAAUGCCAGAAUUACUUAAAAUCGUGCCUGUUUUAUUAGGUACGAUUAAACACCCAUAUUUUUACCUAGGACGUCUUUUCCCCACUACAAUUGAAGAAGGUGGGCCCUCGUUAAAUGGCACUUAUUUUUCCACCACGACGCAAGUGCAAUGUGACCCUACUAAUUUUAAACUCUGUCAAAUACCCGAUCCGGAUGGAGCCAUGGUUGGUAAAGUUACGCAAUGCGCAAGGGCGUUAAUAUUGUAUGAUUUCGAUCCCAGUGAGAAGAACGAGGCUGGAAUUGUGGUACUUGAUAUUUACAUAACUGCAUAUUAUUAUCCAUUUUAAAUCAGGGAAUCGGGAUUACAUACACUGUUUCUUACAGUUGAACUGUCCUCUAAACUGCAAGGACCUCCGAGACGAAAGAUUCCCCAUACUUGUCAGGGCAAGAGACGAAUCUCAGACAAUUUAUGUGAUCAGUGACCCCAAAAAGGAAGACGGACUUGGAUACAAAUGCUCCACCGCCACUCCACCCACGGAAAAUGAGGACCCACCCCCUCCCGAAGAACACUUCCUUCCUCACCCAAUUCGCGACGGGGUGCUGGCCUUCUUCCUCCCGUGCAACUGCACCCUCACCAUCGGUCCUACAAUCCUCCUUCCUUCGUCCAUCGACUGCCCCAGCCCUCCCGACCCCGUGACCUUUCGCCUCACCCCCUUCCACUUCCUCGACCCAAAUAAUACCUCCACCUCGAAAAAGAUGGAAGCCGCCCAGGCCAACACGCCAUCCCCCAUCCUAAAUCCGGAUGAUGCAGCGAGAUAAAUAAUUUAUGCGUUGAGCGCAAAUAAUUUAACUAAUUCAAACCCAGCCUCCGCCCAAAUUAACUACCAACCAGACCCAGACAGACAAAGACUAGACGAGAUAGAUAACUAAUACAUAAUUCAUUUCAUAUUUUUAUUCAAAAUAAUUUAUAUGACUUUUGUUGAGACAGUUCUUGGUUUUUACUUGGCAGCUCUGCAAAUGAGAGCGAGUUAGUAUGUAAAGCAUAACAGAAAACUGGUGUUCAACGUCUGUAAAGUCACACCCCACCCAACCGUCGUACAUCGGCGGGCCACGCGUUGGAAAACAAUUCAUCACGACAGGCAAAGUCUCCUCGACAGUAUGAAUUUGUAAUUGGGAUGAUUAAAUUUCAUUAAACAAUUUUAUACCUGGGGACUGAGGAGAGAGAACAUUUAAAAAAAAUAAUGCGAAUAAUAAUAUAAUUUGUAAAAUUAAUGAAACUGGUUUCCCAGUCAUGGUCCUGUUAAUUGGUGGACGGAUGCAUGCAUACGCAUUUUCAGUCUCACUCACUCACCUCAACUACUUAAAAAUCAUUUAGUAACGAAACGAAACUUGAGAUGAAAUUGAGAAUGAAACCAACAAAAAAUUGGCCUAAAGAAGAAUUUUAUUACUUAAGACGAUGUUUUCCUUUAGCUCGAGGGAUGAUGUGAGAGAGAGAGAGGUACAUAU